ACAAGUGAAAACAAACCCNNACGGACCGAGGAGGGGCCCGUUCCCCCGAUNGCCCGUUCGCCGGACCACGACCCCCUCGGCGCCCGUAGCCAUGCUGCGUGCGGACGGGGCGGACCGUCGCGUCCGCGCAAAAACUAAAAUCCGGCGCGACACGCGCCAAGGAAAACACAAGCGGAAAGAGAGGGCUGUCCCCGUCCGCGGGGGCGUUCCUCGNAAUCCGAUACUCGAACGACUCUCGGCGACGGAUAUCUCGGCUCUUGCAUCGAUGAAGAACGUANCGAAAUGCGAUACUUGGUGUGAAUUGCAGAAUCCCGUGAACCAUCGAGUCUUUGAACGCAAGUUGCGCCCGAGGCCAUUAGGUCGAGGGCACGUCUGCCUGGGCGUCACACACAGCGUCGCACCCCGCCAACCACGUUGUCGGGGAGCGGAGAUUGGCCCCCCGGGCCCGUUGCGGGCACGGUCGGCACAAAUGUUGGUCCCCGGCGGCGAUCGUCGCGGUCAGCGGUGGUUGUACCUCUCAUCCUCCAAAGACACAAAAGACGCGUCGGCCCCGUCGCACGUCGGGACGUACCGACCCCUACGGAGUCGCCCCNGGCGGCGCUCCAACCUGCGACCCCAGGUCAGGCGGGAUCACCCGCUGAGUUUAA
rnacentral:rRNA from 1 species